rnacentral:rRNA from 1 species
AAUGAACGCUGGCGGCAUGCCUUACACAUGCAAGUCGAACGGCAGCGGACCUUCGGGUGCCGGCGAGUGGCGAACGGGUGAGUAAUAUAUCGGAACGUACCUUUCAGUGGGGGAUAACGUAGCGAAAGUUACGCUAAUACCGCAUAUUCUGUGAGCAGGAAAGCAGGGGAUCGCAAGACCUUGCGCUGAUUGAGCGGCCGAUAUCAGAUUAGCUAGUUGGUGAGGUAAAGGCUCACCAAGGCGACGAUCUGUAGCGGGUCUGAGAGGAUGAUCCGCCACACUGGAACUGAGACACGGUCCAGACUCCUACGGGAGGCAGCAGUGGGGAAUUUUGGACAAUGGGCGCAAGCCUGAUCCAGCCAUGCCGCGUGAGUGAAGAAGGCCU